rnacentral:lncRNA from 10 species
AGUGCGUCUGCUGUGGUGCAUGGUUUCAAGCCUGGCCUCUGUGGUUGGAUGUCACGUGGGUCUGUCUGUGUUUGGCUUCCCCUAAAGCAGAUCUGGAGAAGGUUUGGUGCAGAGUCUCCGUGGGAGGUCAGGUGUUUCUCACUUCUGGUUGUCACCCACCACGGAGUCAUGAAUGCUCUUGUAUGUGACCACUUGGCGUGUGUUACUUGACUUUGGAUUUUUCUCUAUCCCACUCCCAUUUGGAAAUAUCUUUUCUGCCUUCUUCCCGUCCUUCCUGCCUAAAAGUCUUAGCUCAAGCCACAGCCUCUAGCACCUAUCGCC